UUUUCUAUAGCUUAUAAUAACAAGUGUGAUAAAAUUGUAUUACAGGGUUUACAUGGUCCUAGAGUGAACUUUUGUUAUCCAGAAAAUAAAAUUCCCCAGUGGUUUGCUUAUAAGUCUCUGGGAUUUGCACUACAUGUAGACUUUGCUUCAUCGACUUGGAAUGGUGAUGAAAGCUUCUUAGGCAUUGUUAUAUGCAUUGUUGUUGAUUUUGACUGGUGCUUUUGGUAUCGUGAUGUGUUGACCAUAGUUUGUGAAAUCCAUUAUUCCCAUAUGGAUGAACCAGACUUGGACAUAUGUCGUUAUUCAUACCUACAGAUAAUGAAACAAGACUUGUAUAUACAAAAGGGCCAUACAGACCAUGUGUCCAUAUGUUAUCUUACCAGAAAAGACAUAAUAAAUGAUUUAUUUGAUGCAAAGAAUGCUUCAUUUAAAUCAUUCAAGUUUUACAUGAUGAACAAAUCACAUGAUAAAUGUAGCAAUGAGAGAAUAAAAGAAUGUGGAAUCCACUUGCUAUAUGGGGAAGAUGCAGAGGAGUUUCAUACUAUACAUGCAGAACUGCAUGCAAAGUGAUUUAGGUGUUUAAGUUUGGAACUUGCAUUGUGGACUGACAAAGAUGUUGAUCUUUUAAGCUACACAUUGUUGGUACUCUUGAAAUGUUGUUUGGUGGACCAACUUCUUUUGUUUUGGAUGACUGUACUCUUUUUCAUUUCUAGAGAUUUUUCUCAACUGGGUUUAGCUCUUUAAAGAUUUUAACCGACAUUGCUAUAAAUACAUUACAAUGGUUUUUUUUUGGCAAAAUUGUGUGUAUUCUUAUUUGUGUUCUACUUUGACUUUGUAUUUUGCUGUAUUUAGACUAUGCUUUAUUUUUAUUUUUCCUAUAAUGUACAUGAUGGAAUAUUUCUCUUCGGACAUGGAUAUAAUUAGACUGCUUUAUUUUUUUGUGUAUUAUUGGCUUUGUAAUGGGAUAAAAGAAGUCAAGAAAUAUUGAUCAUUUAGGUAUCUAGCUAAGGCUGGGAUUUUGCCCCUCUCAA